UCUAUCUAUCUAUCUAUCUAUCUAUCUAUCUAUCUAUCUAUCUAUCUCUCUAUCUAUCUCUCUAUCUAUCUCUCUAUCUCUCUAUCUAUCUCUAUCUCUCUCUAUCUCUCUCUAUCUCUCUCUCUAUCUCUCUCUCUAUCUCUCUCUCUAUCUCUUUCUAUCUCUCUCUCUAUCUCUAUCUCUCCAUCCAUCCAUCCAUCCA